UUGUAAAGUUAACCUAACUAACGAAGCUACCUAAGUUGUGUUUUAAAAUUCACUGUUAGCACUGAAAAUCUAUAGCUUAUAAUUUAUAUUACAUGCAUUAUAAAUUUUCAGUACUGAUAAUGAAUUGUAGAACACAGAUUAGGUAGCCCAGUCCUAAUUGAAAUUCAAAAAACUUACAUAAAAGAGGCAUAUUUAUUCGACAUGUGGAAUGCUCAGGAAAUCGGUCGAAAAUGUGGUUAUUGUAGGUAUUUUAUCCCACAAUUUUCCGAUUUAAUGAAACAUUCUUGUUUUUAUCCAUUUGACGAAGACAUGCAUGCAUUGAAGGUGGAUGAAAAUUUUGUAGUUACUUACUAAGAGAAGACUAUGCAGAUGAUAAUACUUUGUCCCAAGCUGCGAAUAGUACAUGUCAGCAGACAUGUAAUGUAAAUAAUGAUACUGAUGGACAACAGCAAGUGCAACAGCAAGUUGAUAACAGUGACGAAUUAUUAAUUUCGUGCGUGGCUCGUAAGCGAGCAUUAUUCGACCAUCGAAUACCUGCAAAAAAAAAGAAGUAAUUUAAAAAAAAGUGCGCAGUGGCAGGAAGUAUGUAACCUAAUGAGAGGUUAGUUUAAAAAUUUUGUCCAAGUAAGACUACAGAA